rnacentral:rRNA from 1 species
AGAGUUUGAUCCUGGCUCAGGAUGAACGCUAGCUACAGGCUUAACACAUGCAAGUCGAGGGGCAGCAUGGUCUUAGCUUGCUAAGGCCGAUGGCGACCGGCGCACGGGUGAGUAACGCGUAUCCAACCUGCCUUACACUCUUGGACAGCCUUCUGAAAGGGAGAUUAAUACAAGAUGUUAUCAUGAGUAAGCAUUUUCGCAUGAUUAAAGGUUUACCGGUGUAAGAUGGGGAUGCGUUCCAUUAGAUAGUAGGCGGGGUAACGGCCCACCUAGUCUUCGAUGGAUAGGGGUUCUGAGAGGAAGGUCCCCCACAUUGGAACUGAGACACGGUCCAAACUCCUACGGGAGGCAGCAGUGAGGAAUAUUGGUCAAUGGACGAGAGUCUGAACCAGCCAAGUAGCGUGAAGGAUGACUGCCCUAUGGGUUGUAAACUUCUUUUAUAUGGGAAUAAAGUUGUCCACGUGUGGAUUUUUGUAUGUACCAUAUGAAUAAGGAUCGGCUAACUCCGUGCCAGCAGCCGCGGUAAUACGGAGGAUCCGAGCGUUAUCCGGAUUUAUUGGGUUUAAAGGGAGCGUAGAUGGGUUGUUAAGUCAGUUGUGAAAGUUUGCGGCUCAACCGUAAAAUUGCAAUUGAUACUGGCAGUCUUGAGUACAGUUGAGGUAGGCGGAAUUCGUGGUGUAGCGGUGAAAUGCUUAGAUAUCACGAAGAACUCCGAUUGCGAAGGCAGCUUACUGGACUGUAACUGACGCUGAUGCUCGAAAGUGUGGGUAUCAAACAGGAUUAGAUACCCUGGUAGUCCACACAGUAAACGAUGAAUACUCGCUGUUUGCGAUAUACAGUAAGCGGCCAAGCGAAAGCAUUAAGUAUUCCACCUGGGGAGUACGCCGGCAACGGUGAAACUCAAAGGAAU